rnacentral:rRNA from 1 species
AUUAGAGUUUGAUCCUGGCUCAGGACGAACGCUGGCGGCGUGCCUAACACAUGCAAGUCGAACGGUAGCACAGAGGAGCUUGCUCCUUGGGUGACGAGUGGCGGACGGGUGAGUAAUGUCUGGGAAACUGCCCGAUGGAGGGGGAUAACUACUGGAAACGGUAGCUAAUACCGCAUAACGUCGCAAGACCAAAGAGGGGGACCUUCGGGCCUCUUGCCAUCGGAUGUGCCCAGAUGGGAUUAGCUAGUAGGUGGGGUAACGGCUCACCUAGGCGACGAUCCCUAGCUGGUCUGAGAGGAUGACCAGCCACACUGGAACUGAGACACGGUCCAGACUCCUACGGGAGGCAGCAGUGGGGAAUAUUGCGCAAUGGGGGAAACCCUGACGCAGCAACGCCGCGUGAAGGAUGAAGGCUUUCGGGUUGUAAACUUCUUUGAUCGGGGACGAAAAUGACGGUACCCGAGGAACAAGCCACGGCUAACUACGUGCCAGCAGCCGCGGUAAUAAU